rnacentral:snoRNA from 1 species
AUGCAUCUCUGACAGACCUAGAGCAGUUAAUUAAUAUCUGCUGCUAAGGUUUCCAGUACAGAUGCAAGGAAAACAAGGGCUGCACACUUUCUGUCUGUCGGUUGUGGCAGCCAAGAUUGAAUGGGAAAUACAGGA